AAGACUGCUGAUACUACUGGAAGACAAAAUCUCUUGCCAAAGAAUGUCUGGAGCUGCAUGGAGCCACAGGAUCUAAUACCUUAGAUCCGAUACUGUGAUUAAGCUAGCUGUUUCUGAGUCAUAGAUGUCACUUAUUAAAGAGAACGUGCUGUUCCAGUCAUACAUGACCUUUAGGAGAAUCUAAGCAGUUGGACAUUUUCUAUUGUACAUAGAUUUAUUUAAGUUCCUACGCGAGACUACUAGCUUUCUCUGCUUAAAGUGUCGUUUGAAGUGUGAUGUCAAGAACUUGGAGAUCACAUCAUGAAAUUGACGGGCCAGUCAAAAAGACAUACAUGUAGCAGUUGCUGCUGAAAGAUAGAAUCAAUCAAAGAUUUGAUCUUACUUAUCUGUUGUCAGUAGGGCAGAAUGAGAACUGUGACAUUACAGUAGGAGGUUGCUGGUAUGUGGUGUUUGAACCAGAAAAUGAUACUUGUCUUCCUCCUGCUUGUACUGGACCCUCUCCUCUCUAUACAACCAGCCGCUCCCUUUACUAUAGUUUGUUGUAUUUUAUCAAAAUUUUAAUUUUAAUUUAGCAAAAUUAGUCAUUUUUAUUGUCACAUUAUAUUUGCAUACGUUUUGCAAUGCUUCUUCAUUGUAAACUGCUAAGCUGCUACAUUAAUCUUUGCAGUCACCUAU